AAAGAGUUGGGGUUCUGCCGAAAGACUACAGUUAGAAAUAAACAGUCCAGCUUUCGUAGGCCCGAGAGACAGUGCUUCUUUUAGAAGUUUGGACUCCAAAAUCAACAAAUUCUCUUUACGAUGGGUACUUUGUGACUGAAUUCAACAAGAACGCGUCUUUAACGUAACAAAACAUCUACUAAAUGAUCAGCACUGACCAGUUAUAAAAGACCUGGAAAAUGCUCCUGCACGUACAAGAUGACCAUAGAACAUGGAACAUAGAAAAAUACAGCACAGGAACUGGCCCUUUGGCCCCCAUGUCUGUGGCGAACAUGAUUACAAGAUAAACUAAUCUCAUUUAUCUGCACAUGAUCCAUAAUCUCUCUUUCUGUAUUCAAGUCUCUGUAUAAACAACUCUUAAAUACCA